UGCCGCAGGAGGUCACCAAGUCAGUGCCAGUCUCUGGGAAGCCCCCGCCCCCAUGAGGUGUGGGUCACGGGGCAGGUGGCCUGAGGGAUUGUGACCAUCCUGGCCUUUAUCCCACCCCCUGCAGGGGCUGUCCCCAGUGCCACAACUAUUCCAGCUACAUCAUCCCCCACAAGUUUUGGGUGACCGAGGGGCCCAAGAAGGAGCAGCUCAUCCAGACCUUCAAGGCUCAGACCAGCCAGACGGAGUACCGGUUCUUCACACAGGGGAAUGGCCAUUGCCCCUUCAGAUCCGACUGCUGCCUCUACCUGUACCAGCCACCGGAGCCGGCGCUGGCCUCUGCUUCUCCUUGGCCUGAGAUUGUGCAACAGUUUCCAGGCAGCCAGGUGCCAGGCUCAGCGUCAUUCCUGGGGCCCACCAGGCAAGCGGAUGACAUAGCCUUCCCACGCCAUCCUGUAGUCCUCUGGGACCCUGAGCUCCUGCCGGAUCUUGGCAGACCCUACUAGCUUGGCCUUCCGCACAGUGGCAGGCCUUCCUCUUGCAGUUUGGAGAUGCAGAAAGCAGAAGGUCCUCUACCCAAGCUGGGGACGUGAGGGCGGUAGUUCUCACAGGAGGCUCUUCCUGCACGCCAGGCCUUGGUUUUUAGCUUUGCUCAUUUUAUAGAAGGAUUUGGAAAGGAAACCAAUAAAAUGUACCUACCACAGGCUGUGAUGUCUACAGGGUGGUCAGCUCCUACCCUCCUCGCACUGGGGAGCAAGCUUGCCCCUGAGUUCUUUCUCUGGCCCCAUAUUGGUAAUGUGGUGCCUGGAAAGCUUCACUGGAUACGCUAAGAAGAUGACAGUGGGGAGGGCAAACACCUUUGUGUGCAGCACUAGGGAUGAAACCUGGAGCCUACAUCCUGAGCUACAGCCCAGUCCUUUAUUUAUUUAAUUUAUUUACU